rnacentral:rRNA from 1 species
GACGAACGCUGGCGGCGUGCUUAACACAUGCAAGUCACGGGGGUCUCGCAAGAGAGAACCGGCGAACGGGUGCGUAACACGUGAACAACCUGCCGUUGUGAGGGGGAUAGCCGGGCUAACGCCCGGGUAAUACCGCAUACGCUGCCCGAGGGGAGUCCCUUGGGGAGAAAGCCAUGGCGCAAGCGAUGGCGCACGACGAGGGGUUCGCGGCCUAUCAGCUAGUUGGGGGGUCACGCCUCCCAAGGCGACGACGGGUAGCUGGUCUGAGAGGAUGGCCAGCCA